GACGAACGCUGGCGGCGUGCUUAACACAUGCAAGUCGAACGGUGAAGGGAUCAGCUUGCUGGUUCUGGAUGAGUGGCGAACGGGUGAGUAACACGUGAGUAACCUGCCCCCUUCUUCUGGAUAACCGCAUGAAAGUGUGGCUAAUACGGGAUAUUCUGGGUCUGUCGCAUGAUGGGUCUGGGAAAGAUAUUGUUUCGGUGGGGGAUGGGCUCGCGGCCUAUCAGCUUGUUGGUGGGGUGAUGGCCUACCAAGGCGGUGACGGGUAGCCGGCCUGAGAGGGUGGACGGUCACACUGGGACUGAGACACGGCCCAGACUGCUACGGGAGGGAGCAGUGGGGAAUAUUGCACAAGGGGCGCAAGCCUGAUGCAGCGACGCCGCGUGAGGGAGGGAGGCCUUCGGGUUGUAAACCUCUUUCGCAAGUGAAGCAGGCCUGCUCCUUGUGGGUGGGUUGACGGUAGCUGGAUAAGAAGCGCCGGCUAACUACGUG
rnacentral:rRNA from 1 species